GCAUGGGUCAGGCAGUUUCUGAAGCAUCUCUUGAAGUUACUGUUUUGGGGGCAAGGUUUCCUGUCACUUGAAGUGCUGCUGAGGAAGAAUGAUGGCAUGGCUGACUCCAUUUUUCCUUUUUCAGGCAGGUGUGGGUUUGUUGAUUUUGAAACUGAGUCGCAGGGAACACGCCUAGCAGUUCUAAUUUUUCACCACAACAAGCCAGCUCUGCUCACACCGUGUUUUGACAAAGGAGUAGUCUCUUUUUGGAGGGUGAGGUCAGCACGUGGAAUGUUCUGAAACUAGAGAAAUAAUGAGAUGCCAACAAAGGCAAAGGACGACUGCUUGAUGGAAUAAAUCGUGGCCUGGAUUUUAGGAAUGUCUGCUUAGCCACUUCCCCUUGUUCAUGCCUUCCCAAGUCUCUUCUUCCUGCUUCCCUGAACAAAGCGGGAAUCUGAUUUGUACUUCAAACUGAGGCUUCUCGAAAGCACUGGGACAAGCAGAGCCUACCUUUUCUUAUGGAAACAGUGUCUUUCACCCAUAGAAAUAAGCUUACCACCCACCACACACCACACCCCAUCCCUGCUUUUUUUGUGUGUGUGUGUGCUGAGGAUGAAAUUUAGGACCUUGCAUAUGCUAGGCAAGUAUUCUACCACUAACUACACCCCAUACCCUCAUUAUUGAAGGGGGGUAGGUGGGGAGUAGAUUCUGGAAUAUAUGUCAACAUAGAUCAUAUUGGUCGCCCAAGAGCAAUUCACACCCAUUAUUAUACAGUCAUGAUGUAAGACUUGAAGUGAUUUUGAAGUGUUUUUGACAUCCUGAGAAGUAACUGAAAAGAGUAAUCGUUGGAACUGGGUUGUCACAGCAUUUUCUAAAUAAUAUCAGAUCAUAUUAGGGUUAAUGAACAUCUUGGCUUCUCCCGAUUUUCUUCAUAACAAACCCACAACACAAGCCUACUCUCCAGGGCUUACACAUGGGUUAAUCACCUUUCAUUCCAUAGCACUCCUGCCCACACCAGAUUCUCAAAGCAGCCUCUUGGUUAGGGGGGAAAAGAUAUGAGGAACGGAUGAGAAAAGCAAGGAGGAUCAAAGAGUGGAGGAACCCCACAGGUGGCCUCUGAGAACACAGGACCUGAGUCUCCAGCCCAUGCCCUUGUAGUUCAGCUGGCUGCCAGGUCCUGGUACAAAUCCUUGGAGAACUAAAACAUGUUGAUUUCAUUUACAGGUUAAGCUAGUUUUCAGUGUCUUGUUUGAACAUUCUGUUUUGGGAUUUUUGUUUCCAGUUUUUCUUGUUGGGUAAGACUAGGUAAGUUGGAUCGAAGGUGAGAUUUCUCACCUACCCCACUCUGACUACAAAGGCUUCCUGCAGGUAGAAUUUAAAAUGGAAAUAGGUGAGAGUAAGCUUAGAAGAGCCAGGUAAGAGAUGGAGCCAAAUCUUUGCUUUGGCAUAGAGCAGAUAGGAGGCUCCAUGUAAAAGGCAGUGGGAGGGCUGGGCAGUCUCUUUUUUCACUUUUUCCUCCAGUUGCAAAACAUUGUUUUUCUUUCUGAUAAUCUACUACCUCUGCCAAAAUUAAACAAUGCGAGAAAGUAUUGUUUAUUCUGCAAUCUCAACACUACACCUCUGUCUAGGGAACAGCCGUGCAGACAGUUCAGGUCUAUCCUUCCAGGCUUUUAAAUAAAAACACUCUACUGGUCCACAUCUAUAUCUAUAUAUAAAUGGAGCCAUUAACAUAAUGGAAUGUCAUAACAUUGUGAUCAUCCUGUACCAGCUCUUUCUCUUAUGUUGUAGAUAUUUUUUCAUGUCAAACCAUGAAGAAGUAAUGUAAUCCUUUUUUUAAAAAAAAAAUGUGUUUUAACAUAUAACAAUUCUUGUUCAUAAUGAAACCAUACAAAAAGGUAAA